rnacentral:misc_RNA from 1 species
AACGCACGAGACCUGCGGACCUGCGGAAGGAUCAUUACUGAGUGAGGGCCCUCUGGGUCCAACCUCCCACCCGUGUCUCUUGUACCAUGUUGCUUCGGCGAGCCCGCCUCACGGCCGCCGGGGGGCAUCUGCCCCCGGGCCCGCGCCCGCCGAAGCCCCCUCUGAACGCUGUCUGAAGAUUGCAGUCUGAGCGAUAAGCAAAAAUUAUUUAAAACUUUUAACAACGGAUCUCUAGAUCGG